rnacentral:tRNA from 1 species
GGUUCGGUAGCUCAGCUGGAUAGAGCAUCCGCCUUCUAAGCGGACGGUCGUGAGUUCAAGUCUCACCCCGAAUCA